AUUGAACGCUGGCGGCAGGCCUAACACAUGCAAGUCGGACGGUAGCACAGAGGAGCUUGCUCCUCGGGUGACGAGUGGCGGACGGGUGAGUAAUGUCUGGGGAUCUGCCCGAUAGAGGGGGAUAACCACUGGAAACGGUGGCUAAUACCGCAUAACGUCGCAAGACCAAAGAGGGGGACCUUCGGGCCUCUCACUAUCGGAUGAACCCAGAUGGGAUUAGCUAAUAGGCGGGGUAACGGCCCACCUAGGCGACGAUCCCUAGCUGGUCUGAGAGGAUGACCAGCCCAACUGGAAAUGAGACAAGGUCCAGACUCCUACGGGAGGCAGCAGUGGGGAAUAUUGCACAAUGGGGGCAAGCCUGAUGCAGCCAUGCCGCGUGUAUGAAGAAGGCCUUCGGGUUGUAAAGUACUUUCAGCGGGGAGGAAGGCGAUGUGGUUAAUAACCGCAUUGAUUGACGUUACCCGCAGAAGAAGCACCGGCUAACUCCGUGCCAGCUGCCGCGGUAA
rnacentral:rRNA from 1 species